rnacentral:piRNA from 1 species
UGUUCAGGAGAAGGACUCUAAUUCCUUUC